rnacentral:rRNA from 1 species
CGCUGGCGGCAUGCCUUACACAUGCAAGUCGAACGGCAGCACGGGAGCAAUCCUGGUGGCGAGUGGCGAACGGGUGAGUAAUAUAUCGGAACGUGCCCAAUCGUGGGGGAUAACGCAGCGAAAGCUGUGCUAGUACCGCAUACGAUCUACGGAUGAAAGCGGGGGACUCAGCAAUGGGCCUCGCGCGAAUGGAGCGGCCGAUAUCAGAUUAGCUAGUUGGUGGGGUAAAGGCUCACCAAGGCGACGAUCUGUAGCUGGUCUGAGAGGACGACCAGCCACACUGGAACUGAGACACGGUCCAGACUCCUACGGGAGGCAGCAGUGGGGAAUUUUGGACAAUGGGCGCAAGCCUGAUCCAGCAAUGCCGCGUGCAGGAUGAAGGCCUUCGGGUUGUAAACUGCUUUUGUACGGAACGAAAAGACUCCUUCUAAUAAAGGGGGUUCAUGACGGUACCGUAAGAAUAAGCACCGGCUAACUACGUGCCAGCAGCCGCGGUAAUA